rnacentral:lncRNA from 1 species
AGGAAGAAAAACAUCUCCUCAGAUUUUCCACAUGCCCUCCCCAUCCUGCGGGUCCAGUGCCAAGACUUGGCUGGGGAUAGGGCUGCUGCUGCUCCGGGGAAGGGCGGCCAUGGGGGAAUGUGCCACCACCCCAGGGGAGAAGCAUGGGCCAGAAUUUCAGGAGAUAGUGGGAGAGUGGGAAAUAGGUGUGUAGUUGGUUGGGGGCAGGAACCUAUGCAGAUAGCAGCACUGCUAGGAACCA